rnacentral:lncRNA from 1 species
UGAGCACGCCCACCCAUUGACCCCCAAUCCAGAGAGCUAGUGUUGAAGAGCUCAUUAACAAAACACAAAACACUCAGCUGACGCACCGCCACCAUGCAAAUGCGUAAUAACUGGAUCUCUCUUCCCCCACAGCUAACCUCAAGCAUCUCUUCUUGGCCAGCUGCAUUGCCUUGGCUCUCUGUGUGGUUCAGAGCCAGAGAGGGCAGGCUGGGCAGCCACUUCCAUGCCAACAUCCCAGGAGGCAGUGCUUGGAGCAGGAAGAUGAGAGAAGAUGAUCUCUCCCACUACACAGAGCCCAGGUCCCGGCCCCAGACUCAGAGGCCCUGACGCCUGCUAUGCCUGGUCCACAAAAGCAGCAGGGAAGGGCAUGGAUGCUGGCAAUGCACUGCCCCCUCAGGAGCCAGCACUCAAUCAUGUUCUCUCUAAAGAAUGCCAGUGUCCCAUUUUCAUCCAAAUGUGAAAGUUGAAAAAGAGAAGUCAGGCAAGGGAGAGAGGCUUUUAAGAUUUCCCCUACUCAGGGGAGGAGCUGGCAGCGUGAGCCUAAAACCAGGCAGGCAGGUAACGGGAGGGGGCCCUAAUUGCUGCUAAAGAUCACGGGGUAACCCUGAUGACACCUGAAAGUCUUCCGUGGAUCCUCAGGCACAAAACAUAAAUCAUCUCCCUCUCACUUCUUACUGAUCGCGUUUGCUUGCUGUGUCAGCUGAAUUCCCAAAUUGGCCUGGGUUUAAAUUGGGACUUUUUUUUCCCUUCCUGGCCUGGCUUUUCCUCCACUCUCUCUCUCCAACCUCCUCCCACCCCAUGGGAAGUGAUGACAGAGGAAUCUGCCUGCGGACUCCAAAAUGCAGGUUAAAAGAGCAUGACCCAGGGGCAUUUACGACUCACCUGGAACCACACAGGUUGUUAAGAGUGAGGGCUAGAAUUUGGGUGACCUGUCUCCCAGGAGCCACGCAACCUCUCUGUGAAUGAAGGUGGAAUUCCAUGAUUUGAUAAUUACAUGGGACUGUAUCUCUCCCCUGGACUUUGGCCAUCUUUCCCACCGUUCAGAGAAAAUACGACUUGUUUCUAGACCUGAUAUUCAUCCAGCAUGCACCAGGAUGGAUGGAAGAUAAAAUACUGAAAUGUUUCCACACUGGUUGGUAAAUUACCGUCACCUGCGGAUACCUCCCCUGUAGUCCCAACAGGCUGGCUCGUCCUCCGGGAGAUCCCCCAGUGACCUCCCUAAGAUGUGUCACCUAAAGGGUUAAUGCCUGGCCCGGCAGGGGGCCCCCAGACUCUUCACCCAGCAUUAAGUCUUUGUGC